rnacentral:rRNA from 1 species
UACGUAGGGUGCAGGCGUUAAUCGGAAUUACUGGGCGUAAAGCGUGCGUAGGCGGUCCGCAAAGUCUGAUGUGAAAGCCCCGGGCUCAACCUGGGAACUGCAUUGGAAACUAACGGGCUCGAGUGUGGCAGAGGGGGGUGGAAUUCCACGUGUAGCAGUGAAAUGCGUAGAGAUGUGGAGGAACACCGAUGGCGAAGGCAGCCCCCUGGGCUAACACUGACGCUCAGGCACGAAAGCGUGGGGAGCAAACAGG